CCGUGCUAGAUGGGGAGCUGGCGGUGCCCUUUUACCCGCAAUCCGCCUUAGCGGGGUUGAAUUCCUUUUCAGCGGUAUGGUUUAGGUAAGGAUUGCCUUUAGAAAAGCAGUGAUGACAGUUGGGGUCCGCGCAACAGAAGUCUAUGAACCUGGUCAGGCCUGGAAGGGAGCAGCCAUAAGUAGAACAAUCUGUGUGCCGCUGGGUAGCCCUGAUCGAGCCGGCUCCUAAAGUAACACUUAUCUAUCCAUAUCAAUGUAAGGUGCACGG
rnacentral:SRP_RNA from 2 species